UUUCCGUAGGUGAACCUGCGGAAGGAUCAUUAAAGUUAUAGUCCCCUGGCCUUCUGGCUGGGGUCUUCUAUACCACCCUUUGUUUAUUACACCUUUGUUGCUUUGGCAGGCCUGCCCUCGGGCUGCUGGCUCCGGCCGGCGAGCGCCUGCCAGAGGACCUAAACUAUGUUUGUCUAUAAUGUCUGAGUACUAUAUAAUAGUUAAAACUUUCAACAACGGAUCUCUUGGUUCUGACAUCGAUGAAGAACGCAGC
rnacentral:misc_RNA from 1 species